GUACAGCAUAUGGAGUCUCCCAGGCUAGGGGUUGAGUCCAAGCUGCAGCUGCGAGAUUCAGGAUCUGAGCCGUACCUGCAACUACACCACAUCGCAUGAUAAUACCAGAUACUUAACCCACUGAAUGAGCCCACGGAUUGAACCCGCAUCCUCAUGGAUGCUAGUCAGGCUCAAUACUGCUGAGCCGCAAUGGGAACUCCACAUAAGACAUUUUUGGUGGAAUGAGAAAAGUUAAAAUCUAGAUGUUUAUUUCAGAGGUGCUGAAAUGGUUUAUAAAAAUUCUAUGAUUAUAAGGAAUAUAUGAAUAAUGCAAUCUAUCAGGAAAGAGCAAUGCUAUCUUUAAAUAAAAACAACAUGGGUGUGUUCUGAAAGGUUGGCAUGAUUAAAAUGGACAGAUUUGGCUUGAGAUAGGCUUUAAAACUAUGUCUGUUUUAAAGCAAUGAAUUCUGACAUGAAAUUUGUUGGAGCUAGCCAGGGUACCAGUUAUACUCAAAAUGUUUAUGUUGGAGAAGAAAGAUCUGAAAUUUAGGCGCUAGGGGGUUUCUAUGAUAGUUAUUCUCAACAGUUUAGCUCAAAAUUGAAUUUGUCAAUUCCAUUAUCAAAUAUUAUAAAACAUGAAGUAAAAAUAAAUGUCACAUAGUUUUAAAAGCGACAAUAAAACUUAUUUCAGAAGACAUGCACAGUUUUCAGUGUCUUUGCAACUGUCGACUUGGCCAUUGUGACAAGCAAGUGAUGAGAAAGCAGGUGGCUGUGUGAUAUUAUCAAUUACAAAGUCAGAAACCAAUGUCUUCCUUUCCACUUUAUCAUCUGUUUGGGAAGAAGGGGUGUGUGUGUGUGUGUGUGUGUGUGUGUGUGUGUGUGUGUGUGUGUAAUGGGGAGCAGGAGGAGAUUAACUUGUAAGCCAUUAUCUGAUGUGAUGCAAAAACAAACAUUUACUGAGUCAGCUAUAAGGAGAUGGUUUGAUAACAGCUGAGCAUUCGUAUAAAUCUUCAGGGACCCAGAUUCCCUCAAGUGUGACAGAACACUCAGCUGCGGGCACUCCUACUUUAAAAGAUCACAUUUGGCAAAUAGCUCUGGUGUUCUGAGUUCUCCUCAGUGACAGGUUUGUUUUCAAUCUGAUUAACAUUAUCUAAGGACGGCAAAAUGACCUUCAAUGAAAACCCCUUUUAAAUUUUCCAGGUGAGUCCCACCAUGGACGGUCUUUGGCUGUGCUUUAAGAAGGAUCUUUAAAACCUGUAAGAGGAGUAGAGAAGAGAUGUCUUGGAAGCCAUAGAAAAUAAUGUUCAAUGGUCUGUGCACCACUAGGAACACUAUGAGAGGAAGAAAUGCAUCCCAGAGAGAGAAGACUAUCUAUCCACCAGAAUCCAACUGGCUUCAGCAUAAGGGAGCAAUGCAGAAACAAACUUGUGAUUUAAAGCAUCAAUGCACAAAUGCAUAGUCUAACAUUCUCUCUCAAUGGCCUCCUUCAUCUAACCUGUUUGACAUUUGAUCUUUUUAUAAUGCAGAAUGUAAAAAAGUCCCCAUACAGAAUUUUUAGACAUACAUUACGCAUUGCUCUAACUGUGCCCGUGUGAUCACAAACAAGUGGGCAAACCCCUCCUUGGGCUAUAUCCACACCCCCGCCAACCAUCCACCCCAAUUUUGUGAAUUUUGGAGUCAUAUGCAUGGGAAAUGGCUCUCCUAUGUAGGGCCCCUGGAAAUAAAAAGUGCUGAAUUAACUGAGACACUUCAUAUGCUCAUGGAAUAAGAAAAUCUAACCAAUAAACUUUUUCAGGGAAUUCAUCCAGAAAUGUUUAUAGGAAAAAAUGUAGUGCUGUCUUCUUUGGCAUUCUUUUUAUGAGAAGAAAAAGCAAAGGUUAUAUUCACACAGAAGGAACAAUCUAAAUGACAGACACAUUUUUUCAUAAGUUUCCAGACCUGUGGUUGAACUCAUUAUCAUUAUUAUUGUCAUUAUUUUUCGCGGUGGCAUGCAGCUGCUUGAUGUGAGAUCUUGGCUCCCAGGUCAGGGAUGGAACCCAGGAUAUUUUUAUACAAACACACUACCAUCAUUUUCAUUAUUUAUAGUUACACAAUCUUCCACUUAAUUUACCCUUUUAACCCUAUUUUAUUUGCUAAUGUUUUGGUAUAAUCAUAUUUACUGUCUAUAAUAAAACACGUAAAUACAAUCUACCAGCAUUAGGCAGGAAACAUUUGAGACCACAAACUCUCAUAUGCCAGGAAAGACAGUGAUUUGCCAAGAACCACAAGCUUUUUAAACUGAACUUUGAUCUGUCCCAGCUGCAGGUUCAGGAGAGGGCUGUUUGAAGUGAAGAGAUGGCAAAUGAAUCGGUCAGUCAGCUGCCUGGUGGUUAUUCUUUCUUGGGGCACUUUACCUGCAACUGCUGUCUUUCCUCCCAAAACCGUAAUAGUAGACAAACGCCAUGAACCUGGGUAGGCACAUCCAUCCCUAUCCUAAGUCCCAUUGGUAUUUGUUAUCCGAAUAGAAGAGCAGAAGUGUUAUCUGAACAGAUGGCCGAGGUGGAUAGGAGUGAGAGGGGAGAGUGGAUUGGAUGGAUGUGUGUCUAGAUAUGGCUUGGAGCCACAGGACAGCUAUUAAAGUCACUUCUCAAAUGACAUCUACUGUUUAGGAACUGGAUCAAGAAAGCCUAUAAUUAUUUGUCUACUCUAUCUACAAAGCACUCAUUCAUCAGAGAACGCUUCUAAGAAAAGAGAGGACAGUGCAUAAAAAACAAAUUCCCUUUCUUUCUCAACCCCAAAGCACAUAAAACUUGGCAUGAGAUAUUUUCCAGCUAAAAAAGCAGUCAUAUGUUCUGGCAUCAGCUUUAAUUUCUCCCACAUGCAUUUUCUGCGACAAUAACAAGAUGAAGCCAUUUGUAUUUUAUGUACAUUUGUUACAUCUUAUUCUUUGUUUUUCAUGUAGAUAAAUAGGCCUUUAUACCCUAGGUACUAUAGGAAAUCCCAAAGCUCAGAAAAUCGCUAAUGAGAAUGGAAGGAAUUAAGCAUUAUGAGAGCUGAAGUACUGCAGCUACUGCGCAACACUCUUGCUCAGAGUUCUUGUAACAGUGUCAUCAGUGAAGCCGCUGUUCAAUGAGCUUUAUUGGAACUUGAAUCUCAAUCCUAAAUCUGAAAUGUCUCUUUUUAAUAAAGAUGGUAACUUUAUGCACUGCAGAACAAAAAAACACAAAAAAAUGUCCUCAAAUGUCAUUUGUAAAAAAUGAAUUAGGAGUUUCCAUCUGGGCACAGCAGAAACAAAUCUGACUAGCAUCCAUGAGGACACAGGUUCUCCCUGCCUCGCUCAGCGGGUUAAGGAUCCAUGAGCUGUGGUAUAGGUUGCAGAUGCAGCUUGGAUCUGGUGUUACUGUGGCUGUGGUGUAGGCCAGUGGCUACAGCUUCGCUUUGACCCCUAGCUUGGAAACCUCCAUACGCUGCAGGUGUGACCCUGAAAAUAAAAAAAUAAAAACAAAAACCUUUCUGUUCUCUCAGACCUUUUCUUUAUCUUCUAAUUAUCUUCAGUGUUAUUUCAAGGAUAAGCCUACAUAAAAAUGUAAACUUUAGGCUAAGGACACUGACUUAUAGGCACUCAACAAAUAUUUUUCAAUAAGUAAAUAAGUGAAGUUUGAAUGGGAAAUUAUAUUGUAAAUUGUAAAAAAUUUAAUUCGGUUUAGAGGAGUCCCCAUUGUUAAGAACCUGACAUAGUCUCUGCGGGGAUGUGGGUUCCAUCCCUGGCCUUGCUCAGUGGGUUAAGGAUCCAGCAUUGCCAUGAGUUGUGCUGCAGGUCUCAGAUGCAGCUCAGACCCUGUGUUGCUGUGGCUGUGGUGUAGGCCAGCAUCUGCAGCUCAGAUUCAACCCCUAGCCUGGGAACUCCCAUAUCCUACAGGUGUGAUCCUAAAAAGCAAAAAAAAAAAAAAAAAACAAAUGAAUACGCCUUUCAAUAAAGCUUAUGGGUACCAAAGGACAUUCAAUUUAAAAAAAAAAUCUGUGUAAAAUCAAAUGAAAAAUUAUAAAAGGACCAAAGCUUAAUUAGUAAUAUAAUUGCUGCCUAACCACAAACUUACUUAUUUUAAUAGCUAUGCUGCAACCAGUAAGUUAUCUUUUUAAACUUCGCUAAAAAUACUAAGGUAUACCUUACGAUGCAGAGCUAUCAUAUCCAACAUCAUGCUCAUGAAGGAAAAGGAAAUGCAGAGAUAUGAAAGUUCUCAUUUUCUAAUCCCAACAGAUAGGAUUUCAUGAUGUUCCAUUUCUGUAUAAAUUCACAUAGAGUGUGAAUAUUUUCUGUAAAUCAGUUUUACUGACAAUCAAAUUGCACAAAUCAUUUAGGGCUAUAUGGUAUCCAGAGCUGUUAAUUUACAUCAUUAAAUAACAUUCUGGAAUUAUGAUAAGUUUAAAUGUACUAGCUGAAUGCUUGACUGGACAUUGAUAAAUCACGUACUUGAUCGUUAAAGAAAUGGAGUUCCUAUAUUAAUAGACUUUAUCCUUAUGUUAUCUGUCACAAAUUUGGAACCUGUUUCUUUUAACUUGCAAGCUUUAUUUCUGUCCUGGAAAAGUCAACUAUAAUUUUAAUAAUUAAAAGAUGAUUUGAAGCUCUAUGCUCCCCAUGCUGCUUCAUUUUUCAGGUUUUUUACAGAAUCUUUUUUAGGGAUGAGAAUUCUGUGGAAACCAGUUGCUCUGACUGUCCUAAUUUUUAAGUCCCAAAUUCCUAAUUUACAUUUUGGCAAAAGAGACCAAAAACCCAUGAAGAGUGUUUUUAAACUGUCUUCCCCUUCUCCCCUGCAAGACGUGAGGGUUCAUUCUUCCUCUAAUUCUAGCUUUACUCUCUACAAUCAUCUUCUCUUCUUCCAUCACUGCCUUCAACCAUCCUGUAACCAAUUCUUGCCAGGUCAUUCUCUAACCUCUAUUUCACAGCUAUACGUCUGUAUCUAUCAGAACAUUUUCAACAUGGAUAUACAGGUAAUAGUCUGCCCUUUGUAAGAACACCAUUGAACUUGGAAUUGUUAUCAGAAACACUUCAUUAGAUCUGAGUAAAGGUACUCUGCCCAACAUUUUAUUUAAAUCCCAUGAGGUACGGGUCAUUUUUACCCUCAUCUCGCACAUGAAGAAACUGGGACACAUAAAGAUGAAGGCAUCUUGCCCAUAGUUGGUUGGCAAACGGUCGGAAUACAGAAAUGAAGCUUUCAACCACUCUAUUGUCAGUCUUCUUGUGUAUCACUAUAAGUCUUUCAUGGCAUGGUUAUUCCAUGUAGGAUCUUCAGCUUUCAAUGAGUUCAUCACGUGGUCAUGACACUAGGGUUUUACUUGCAUUGGAAAUCAAGUGCAAAAAAUUAGUCUGCAGAAGAAAACAAAGCUAGGCCUACAGGACAUGAAGGUAUUAAUAAGAGAUUAGAACUUCUUUUUUCAUGGAGUGAGAAGUCAUUGAGGGGCUAUGCAGGACCGCACUAUGGAGAACGAUAACUAGAGCUGCAGGAGAGGGAGGAGGCCCUCAACUACAUCAAUGUUGAUAAGCCUGGGAGGAGGGUCAGGAGCAGAAGAUAUUUGAAAGGUGACAUUUCUCGGCCCCUGUGAUUGGCUGGCGAGAGGGAUGGGGGAGCCAUGGAUUGCUACAUCUCAAACACUUGGGCUAUCAACAUCACAGCACUAGAAAAGUGGUUAGCUUCCAGACCUGUUCUCAGUCUCAUCCUCAGCCUGGACUGAGCCCUCCCACACAGUGGAACUCCAACUUCCCAGUUGCUCAAAGUAUCUGGGUCUUAGAAAUAGGAAAGAAUAUGAUAAAGCCUGAAGCUGCUGAGCUGAGGGUGAACAGGUAGCUGGGCUGCAUUUGCUUGUGUUUUGGUGCGUAUCUUAGUCUUGACAGGCUCAUUUCAAAUAACAUUCUGGCCCAAGAUAGGAUUUAGAUGAUUCCUUAAACCUGCAAGUAAAAUCUGUCUUUGCGCCAAAGUAGUAUUCAUAAUACCGUGGAGGCUUACCAAAAUGAGAUAACUAAUUACCAUAGCUAUGCUUCUAUAACCGAAGGGGACCCAUAACUUACAUGCACACACACAAAUACUAUAGAAUUAAAAUCAUGUGAUUUGCAAGAUAUUCGCCUAGCUGCAAAAGUAACAAAGGGUGCCCUAACUCUUUACCUCAACUACUCCAGCAGAAAAGCUGAUCUU
rnacentral:lncRNA from 1 species